rnacentral:ncRNA from 1 species
AUGCAAGGGGUGCUGAGAACGCUCGGCUGAGAUCAUACCCAAUGAACCUGAUGCAGGUAAUGCUGUCGCAGGGAACGCA